AAAAAUCCGGGAAGACUUAACAGUGAGGCGCAAAGCAGUAAGCCGAAUGGCUGAAAGCUGCUGAUUUCAUGCUGCCAAGAAAAACCUCUAAGGAGAGAGAUUGGGAACCGUACCACAAACCGACACAGGUAGACGAGGAGAAUAUCCAAAGGCGCUCGAGUGAAAGCUUGUUAAGGAACUCGGCAAAUUAGACCCGUAACUUCGGGAGAAGGGUCGCCAUCGAGGUUCAUAGCCUCUGAUGGCCGCAGCGAAAUGCGAACGGCGACUGUUUAACAAAAACACAGGUCUCUGCAAAGUCUAAAACGACGUAUAGGGGCUGACUCCUGCCCGGUGCCGGAAGGUUAAAGGGAGAGGUUAGGGCGCAAGCUCGAAGCUUUGAACUGAAGCCCCGGUGAACGGCGGCCGUAACAAUAACGGUCCUAAGGUAGCGAAAUUCCUUGUCGGGUAAGUUCCGACCUGCACGAAUGGAGUAACGAUCGUUCGACUGUCUUAACGAGUUGCUCGGCGAACUUGUAGUACCGGUGAAGAUGCCGGUUACCCGCAGCUAGACGAAAAGACCCCGUGCACCUUUACUAUACUUUUACAGUGGUUUACGGCAAUUGCUGCGCAGGAUAGGUGGAGGCUUUGAUAUCGGACUUUUGGGUUCGGUGGAGCCAACGGUGAGAUACCACCCUGCGAUUGUUGUGAUCCUAACCUCCUCCCGUGAUCCGGGAGAGGGACAUUGUAAGACGGGUAGUUUGACUGGGGCGGUCGCCUCCUAAAUUGUAACGGAGGCGCGCGAAGCUACACUCAGGUCGUUUGGAAAUCGACCGUCGAGUGCAAAGGCAUAAGUGUGGUUAACUGCGAGACCUACAAGUCGAGCAGAUGCGAAAGCAGGCCUUAGUGAUCCGGUGGUUCUGUAUGGAAGGGCCAUCGCUCAACGGAUAAAAGGUACGCCGGGGAUAACAGGCUGAUCAUUGCCAAGAGUUCAUAUCGACGCAAUGGUUUGGCACCUCGAUGUCGGCUCAUCACAUCCUGGAGCUGUAGAAGGUUCCAAGGGUUCGGCUGUUCGCCGAUUAAAGUGGUACGUGAGCUGGGUUCAGAACGUCGCGAGACAGUUCGGUCUCUAUCUGCUGUGGGCGUAGGAGAUUUGAAGAGGGCUGUCCUUAGUACGAGAGGACCGGGAUGGACGAACCUCUUGUGUUCCAGUUGUCUUGCCAAAGGCACGGCUGGGUAGCGAAGUUCGGUUGUGAUAACCGCUGAAUGCAUAUAAGCGGGAAGCACGCUCUAAGAUGAGAUCUCCCAACCCGUAAGGGAAAUGAAGGGCCCAGGAAGACCACCUGGUUGAUAGGCUGGAGGUUGAAGCGCAGUAAUGCGUGUAGCUUACCAGUACUAAUCGCCCGUUCGGCUUGUC
rnacentral:rRNA from 1 species